GGGAAUUUUCCGCAAUGGGCGAAAGCCUGACGGAGCAAUACCGCGUGAGGGAUGACGGCCUAUGGGUUGUAAACCUCUUUUUUCAGGGAGGAAUCAAUGACGUGUACCUGAAGAAUAAGCAUCGGCUAACUCCGUGCCAGCAGCCGCGGUAAGACGGAGGAUGCAAGUGUUAUCCGGAAUCACUGGGCGUAAAGCGUCUGUAGGUGGUUUGAUAAGUCAACUGUUAAAUCUUGAGGCUCAACCUCAAAAUCGCAGUCGAAACUAUUAGACUAGAGUAUAGUAGGGGUAAAGGGAAUUUCCAGUGGAGCGGUGAAAUGCGUAGAUAUUGGAAGGAACACCGAUGGCGAAGGCACUUUACUGGGCUAUUACUAACACUCAGAGACGAAAGCUAGGGUAGCAAAUGGGAUUAGAUACCCCAGUAGUCA
rnacentral:rRNA from 1 species